GUUGUGCUCUGGGCUGCAGGGGUGGAGCAACAAUGCUGUAAACGGCUUUAAGCCAGGCCCUCACCUUCUGUACUUGAAGUGACAGAGUGGGGAUUCAGCCUUGACAAUAUGGAAGAGUAAGUCAAAAGCACAUGAAGGAGUACUACAAGCAAAGGAUUAAAGGGAACAAUAACAGUUUAAUAAGCAAGAGGAUGACAAUGAAAAGUGCAGAUAAGUCCAAGGUAUGCAGCAAGAAGGGCUGAAACAGCUGGGACUGCUGUGGGUGGAAUGAUUUUCUUUUUGCAGCUGAUGUAUAAAUCCUAAGAGGGUCGCCCUGGAAACCUUAACACUAUGAAGGAUCUCAUUUGUCUUAUCAGGAAAGAACCAAGGGCCUUCAAAUGAGAGGUCUUGAAUCAUUUGUUGCCUCCCAGGGAAGACCUGACAACUGCAGCCAAGAUGAACACUGCACAGUGAUGGCAAAAGCCAGAGCUCGAGCCCAUAAAGUCCACCACAUCCAGGCUUGCUUGCAGUGCUGUUUUGGCAACAAAUUUGCCCUCAUCUACCAUAGCAGUGAACUUCUUUGCCUGAUCAGGACGCUUGGCUUUGAACUUCAGGAUAUUAUCCCACAGACUUAAAUCAUAUCAACCCAGCAGAGUCAGCUGGUUCAUGAUCACAAGCUGUAAACUCCCUGUGGAAUAAGCCUUCCUGCUGAAUAAGUCUGCUUUUUUUUCAUUUUAUUUUUUUUGGUGGGCGGUAGAGACCUGGUGUCCCUGUCUCUUUUUUUCAUUAGCAGCAGUGACUACCAGGGAGCCUGGAGGAACAUAGUUAUAGAAGUGCUCAAAUCCCUGUGAAGGGACAUAAUAUCUUCUCUCCACCUUGCAGUGGGAGGCAAUGGGCAGGCACUGGGCAGGCACCCCGCUGGGCUGCUGGGCAUGCUCAGGUCAGGAUACAUAUCAUCCAACCUCAGAGGCUGAUGAGGAGUCUACUUCCUCAGACCAUGGUGGAGAUGGCCCCUUUGUACCAGGCAGACUGGAUCAGAACCCAUCACUGGCUUCUCUUUAGAUGGAACCUUCUGGAAAGGAGCCCACCUGUAGAAUCUGGGCUCCAGAGUCAGCAAUCCUUGCUGGUUUACGGAGUGUGUCUGGUGGUGCCUCUUCUUUGGCCCACCUCAGAGUCUUUGCCUCUGCUCGGUACCUUUAUCAUAAUCUUCAAAGACCUCGGUACCGAGUCUAUGGGAGACUUAUGUUGCCUCUCCGUG